GUGAGUUAGUUCUCCUCCACUCCCUGAUCAGAUGGUGAGUUAGUUCUCCUCCACUCCCUGAUCAGGUGGUGAGUUAGUUCUCCUCCACUCCCUGAUCAGGUGGUGAGUUAGUUCUCCUCCACUCCCUGAUCAGAUGGUGAGUUAGUUCUCCUCCACUCCCUGAUCAGAUGGUGAGUUAGUUCUCCUCCACUCCCUGAUCAGAUGGUGAGUUAGUUCUCCUCCACUCCCUGAUCAGAUGGUGAGUUAGUUCUCCUCCACUCCCUGAUCAGAUGGUGAGUUAGUUCUCCUCCACUCCCUGAUCAGAUGGUGAGUUAGUUCUCCUCCACUCCCUGAUCAGAUGGUGAGUUAGUUCUCCUCCACUCCCUGAUCAGAUGGUGAGUUAGUUCUCCUCCACUCCCUGAUCAGAUGGUGAGUUAGUUCUCCUCCACUCCCUGAUCAGAUGGUGAGUUAGUUCUCCUCCACUCCCUGAUCAGAUGGUGAGUUAGUUCUCCUCCACUCCCUGAUCAGAUGGUGAGUUAGUUCUCCUCCACUCCCUGAUCAGAUGGUGAGUUAGUUCUCCUCCACUCCCUGAUCAGAUGGUGAGUUAGUUCUCCUCCACUCCCUGAUCAGAUGGUGAGUUAGUUCUCCUCCACUCCCUGAUCAGAUGGUGAGUUAGUUCUCCUCCACUCCCUGAUCAGAUGGUGAGUUAGUUCUCCUCCACUCCCUGAUCAGGUGGUGAGUUAGUUCUCCUCCACUCCCUGAUCAGGUGGUGAGUUAGUUCUCCUCCACUCCCUGAUCAGAUGGUGAGUUAGUUCUCCUCCACUCCCUGAUCAGAUGGUGAGUUAGUUCUCCUCCACUCCCUUAUCAGAUGGUGAGUUAGUUCUCCUCCACUCCCUGAUCAGAUGGUGAGUUAGUUCUCCUCCACUCCCUGAUCAGAUGGUGAGUUAGUUCUCCUCCACUCCCUGAUCAGAUGGUGAGUUAGUUCUCCUCCACUCUGGCUACUCAGAUGAUGAGAGCCAACCCUGUAAUAUGUUAGUAUGGUAGCGAGUGGUCAGAACAGACUGUGAGACAGGGUUUGACAGGUCUGCGUUUCAGCUAGACCUCUCACUCCACAAAUGUAUUGUGUUCCUUUUAAACAGCUUGGACAAUUCCUGAAAAUGAUGUCAUGGCUUUAGGAGCUUCUGAUAGGCUAAUUGACAUCAUUUGAGUCAUUUGGAGGUGUACCUGUGGAUGUAUUUCAAUGCCUACCUUUAAACUCAGUGCCUCUUUGCUUGACAUUUAAUUUUACCUUUAUUUAACCAGGCAAGUCAGUUAAGAACAUAUUCUUAUUUUCAAUGACGGCCUAGGAACAGUGGGUUAACUGCCUGUUCAGGGGCAGAAUGAAAGAUUUGUACCUUGUCAGCUCGGGGGUUUGAACUCGCAACCUUCCGGUUACUAGUCCAACGCUCUAACCACUAGGCUACGCUGCCGACAUCAUGGGAAAAUCAAAAGAAAUCAGCCAAGACCUCAGAAAAACAACCUCCAAAGUCUGAUUCAUCUUUGGGAGCAAAUUCCAAAUGCCUAAAGGUACCACAUUCAUCUGUACAAACAAUAGUACGCAAGUAUGAACACCAUGGGACCACGCAGCCAUCAUACCGCUCAGGAAGGAGGCGUUGGCCGAGGUUGGAGUAGCCAGGAGGAAGGCAUGGCCAGCCGCUGAGAAAUGCUUAUUGCAAUUUUCGAUUAUCAUGGAUUUAUCAGUGGUGACAGUGUUCCCUAGCCUCAGUGCAGUGGGAGCUGGGAGGAGGUGCUCUUGUUCUCCAUGGAUUUAUCAGUGGUGACCAUGUCGCCUAGCCUCAGUGCAGUGGGAGCUGGGAGGAGGUGCUCUGGUUCUCAAUGGAUUUAUCAAUGGUGACAGUGUUUCCUAGCCUCAGUGCAGUGGGAGCUGGGAGGAGGUGCUCUUGUUCUCCAUGGAUUUAUCAGUGGUGACCGUGUUCCCUAGCCUCAGUGCAGUGGGCAGCUGGGAGGAGGUGCUCUUGUUCUCCAUGGAUUUAUCAGUGGUGACAGUGUUACCUAGCCUCAGUGCAGUGGGCAGCUGGGAUGAGGUGCUCUUGCUCUCCAUGGACUUUACAGUGUCCCAGAACUUUUUGGAGUUGGAGCUACAGGAUGCAAACUUCUGCCUGAAGAAGCUGGCCUUUGCUUUCCUGACUGACUGCGUGUAUUGGUUCCUGACUUCCCUGAACAGUUGCAUAUCGUUGGGACUAUUCGAUGCUAUUGCAGUCCGCCACAGGAUGUUUUUGUGCUGGUCGAGGGCAGUCAGGUCUGGAGUGAACCAAGGGCUAUAUCUGUUCUUAGUCCUACAUUUUUAGAAAGGGGCAUGCUUAUUCAAGAUGGUGAUGAAAGCACGUUUAAAGAACAACCAGGCAUCCUCUACUGACGGGACGAGGUCAAUAUCCUUCCAGGAUACCCGGGCCAGGUCGAUUGGAAAGGCCUGCUCGCAGAAGUGUUUUAGGGAGCGUUUGACAGUGAUGAGGGGUGGUCGUUUGACUGCAGACCCGUAGCGGAUACAGGCAAUGAGGCAGUGAUCGCUGAGAUCCUGAUUGAAGACAGCGGAGGUGUAUUUGGAGGGCCAGUUGGUCAGGAUGACGUCUAUGAGGGUGUCCGUGUUUACGGAUUUAGGGUUGUACCUGGUGGGGUCCUUGAUGAUUUGUGUGAGAUUGAGGGCAUCUAGCUUAGA